CCCUGCCCUUUGUACACACCGCCCGUCGCUCCUACCGAUUGGGUGUGCUGGUGAAAAUGUCGGAUUGGCUCUGGUUGGUGGCAACACCCGCCUGAGCCGAGAAGAUCUUUAAACCCUCCCACCUAGAG
rnacentral:rRNA from 1 species